GACGAACGCUGGCGGCGUGCCUAAUACAUGCAAGUCGAACGCUGAAGCUUGGUGCUUGCACCGAGCGGAUGAGUUGCGAACGGGUGAGUAACGCGUAGGUAACCUGCCUGGUAGCGGGGGAUAACUAUUGGAAACGAUAGCUAAUACCGCAUAAGAGUAGAUGUUGCAUGACAUUUGCUUAAAAGGUGCAAUUGCAUCACUACCAGAUGGACCAGCGUUGUAUUAGCUAGUUGGUGAGGUAACUGCACACCAAGGCAACGAUACAUAGCCGACCUGAGAGGGUAAUCUGCCACACUGGGACUGAGACACGGCCCACACUCCUACGGGUGGCAGCAGUAGCGAAUCUUCGGCAAUGGACGGAAGUCUGACCGAUCAACGCCGCGUGAGUGAAGAAGGUUUUCGGAUCGUAAAGCUCUGUUGUAAGAUAAGAACGAGUGUGAGAGUUGAAAGUUCACACUGUGACGGUACCUUACCAGAAAGGGACGGCUAACUACGUG
rnacentral:rRNA from 1 species